UGGGGAAUUUUGGACAAUGGGCGAAAGCCUGAUCCAGCAAUGCCGCGUGUGUGAAGAAGGCCUUCGGGUUGUAAAGCACUUUUGUCCGGAAAGAAAUCCUUGGCUCUAAUACAGUCGGGGGAUGACGGUACCGGAAGAAUAAGCACCGGCUAACUACGUGCCAGCAGCCGCGGUAAUACGUAGGGUGCAAGCGUUAAUCGGAAUUACUGGGCGUAAAGCGUGCGCAGGCGGUUUGCUAAGACCGAUGUGAAAUCCCCGGGCUCAACCUGGGAACUGCAUUGGUGACUGGCAGGCUAGAGGUAUGGCAGAGGGGGGUAGAAUUCCACGUGUAGCAGUGAAAUGCGUAGAGAUGUGGAGGAAUACCGAUGGCGAAGGCAGCCCCCUGGGCCAAUACUGACGCUCAUGCACGAAAGCGUGGGGGAGCAAAACAGGAUUAGAUACCCCUGGUAGUCCACGCCCUAAAGNGAUGUCAACUAGUUGUUGGGGAUUCAUUUCCUUAGUAACGUAGCUAACGCGUGAAGUUGACCGCCU
rnacentral:rRNA from 1 species